rnacentral:tRNA from 1 species
UGAGGUAUAGCUCAAAUGGUUAGAGUUCCUGACUGAUAUUCAGGGGGUUGUAGGUUCGAGUCCUGCUAUCUCAA